UGGGGAAUAUUGCACAAUGGGCGCAAGCCUGAUGCAGCCAUGCCGCGUGUGUGAAGAAGGCCUCGGGUUGUAAAGCACUUUCAGCGAGGAGGAAGGUGGUGAACUUAAUACGUUCAUCAAUUGACGUUACUCGCAGAAGAAGCACCGGCUAACUCCGUGCCAGCAGCCGCGGUAAUACGGAGGGUGCAAGCGUUAAUCGGAAUUACUGGGCGUAAAGCGCACGCAGGCGGUUUGUUAAGUCAGAUGUGAAAUCCCCGGGCUCAACCUGGGAACUGCAUUUGAAACUGGCAAGCUAGAGUCUCGUAGAGGGGGGCUAGAAUUCCAGGUGUAGCGGUGAAAUGCGUAGAGAUCUGGAGGAAUACCGGUGGCGAAGGCGGCCCCCCUGGACGAAGACUGACGCUCAGGUGCGAAAAGGCGUGGGGGCAGCAAAACAGGAUUAGAUACCCCUGGUAGUCCACGCUGUAAACGAUGUCGAUUUUGGAGGUUGUGCCCUUGAGGCGUGGUUUUCCGGAGCUAACGCGUUAAAGUCGA
rnacentral:rRNA from 1 species